rnacentral:rRNA from 10 species
AUAUGGGGGCUUAACACCAUGGACACGCCUGAUCUCUAAGCAUGGAAGCUUAGCAUGGUCGGGCCUGGUUAGAACUUGGAUGGGAGACCGCCUGGGAAUACCAGGUGCUGUAAGUG